rnacentral:rRNA from 1 species
CCUACGGGAGGCAGCAGUGAGGAAUAUUGGUCAAUGGACGGAAGUCUGAACCAGCCAUGCCGCGUGCAGGAUGACGGCUCUAUGAGUUGUAAACUGCUUUUGUACGAGAAUAAUAGUUCUUACGUGUAGGGAUUUGAAUGUAUCGUACGAAUAAGGAUCGGCUAACUCCGUGCCAGCAGCCGCGGUAAUACGGAGGAUUCGAGCGUUAUCCGGAUUUAUUGGGUUUAAAGGGUGCGCAGGCGGAUUUUUAAGUCAGCGGUCAAAUCGUGGGGCUCAACCCCAUCCAGCCGUUGAAACUGGGGAUCUAGAGUGUGCGAGAGGUAUGCGGAAUGCGUGGUGUAGCGGUGAAAUGCAUAGAUAUCACGCAGAACCCCGAUUGCGAAGGCAGCAUACCGGUGCACAACUGACGCUCAGGCACGAAAGCGUGGGUAUCGAACAGGAUUAGAUACCCGAGUAGUC